CAAUUACAUAAGCUAAUGGGCCUGGCACAAAUCAAGUGUUCAAUGAAUGUGAGUUCUAUUGUUAGCAUGUGUCAUGAAGCCUGCCGAGUCUGGGUGGUGAGCUGAGAGAAGCAACCUGACAGCUAUAUGGAACGUCAUGCAAGAGAAGACUCAGGGCAGAAAAGCUACGGAAGAAGACCUUUUCAGUGCGACAGCCAUCGACAAUGCCGGGAGCAGCAAUGAAGUCAAGGAAGACAAGGAGAGAAAAGAUCUGGCAAUGGUCUCCCAAUCCCAGAAAUUCUCAAAGUGUGACACGAGAACAUCUAGAGACUUCUGAGACCCUUUAAACACACACAAAGUCAGAAUUAUUUUUGUAAUACUAAGAUAUUUUU
rnacentral:lncRNA from 1 species